GACGAACGCUGGCGGCGUGCCUAAUACAUGCAAGUAGAACGCACAGUUUAUACCGUAGCUUGCUACACCAUAGACUGUGAGUUGCGAACGGGUUAGUAACGCGUAGGUAACCUGCCUGGUAGCGGGGGAUAACUAUUGGAAACGAUAGCUAAUACCGCAUAAUAUUAAUUAUUGCAUGAUAAUUAAUUGAAAGUUGCAAUUGCACCACUACCAGAUGGACCUGCGUUGUAUUAGCUAGUAGGUGAGGUAACGGCUCACCUAGGCGAGGAUACAUAGCCGAAAGGAGAGGGUGAGCGGCCAAACUGGGACUGAGACACGGCCCAGACUCCUACGGGAGGCAGCAGGAGGGAAUAGUCGGCAAUGGACGAAAGUCUGACCGAGCAACGCCGCGGGAGUGAAGAAGGAUUUCGGAUCGUAAAGCUCUGUUGUAAGAGAAGAACGGGUGUGAGAGUGGAAAGUUCACACUGUGACGGUAUCUGACCAGAAAGGGACGGCUAACUACGUG
rnacentral:rRNA from 1 species